UUCACUUUAGUGAAAGCACAAUUUUGUAUGGACCUUGAACAAAAUUACCACAAUCUAAACACUGGACAUCCGAGAGACGGACACACUUGAAAGAGACAUUUGAGACACAAAGCAGAGUGACCAGUCCAACACUGAGAGGAAGAUGUGUCGCUCAUUGCUCUUCCUGCUGCUCAUCGCUGGAGCUCUGCUGAUCUCUACUGAGGGUCAGCAGGAUUAUCACACGCUCACUGGAAUACACAAGGACGCUGUUAACAAGGCAAUUCAACACUGCAAUGAAAAAUCCUCAAAGCAUGUGAAUUUCCUUGGCUUCCUUCCUGAUUCAGAGAAAUCUGAUCCAUUUUACAUUGAGCUUCACUUGAAAGUCACCACCUGCACAAAAACAGAAAAGACCACACAUCGAGAUGACUGCCCAUUUAUGAACCGAAGGCCAAUAAUCAACUGUGCUAUUUGCAAUAAAGGGACUGGGUCUGGCCUCGACAUUCAUUGCGCUACGCAACUGCAACUAAAUCAGUCCAUGGAAGAGCGGAAGAAAGUGUGCCCAAUUGACGUCUUAGAUGUAAUCAGUGUAAACACACUGAAAAAACUGGAAAAACCACCUGCUGAGUGUCUUGGGUGCUUCUGAAUGUCCCGGCGAGUUUGGGCUGUCCGAUCCCCAAAUUCAGUGCAAUGAAGGCUCUGUGACAGUUUCAUGUCUGAAAUACUGUGCUGUAUUCUAUUCCCUCCUUUGGCAGAAUGUACUCAAAUUGCUUUAUUUGUAUAGCACCUUUCAUACAGAAUGCUGCUGAAAGUGCUUAGCAGGACUAAUGAAACCAAGGAAGACAGAGAAUAACACAAUGAUAAUAGUCGAUUAUACAAAUUAAAAUAAUAAAACUAAAUUAAGAGGGAAUCAAAUAAAAUCUUUUCAAAAGACCUGCUUGCAUGCAGUGAUUACACAUCUAUUCCAUGUAGAAAAUUUGACUCUUGGAACUUGGAACUUGGACUGUUGAAGGUUUGACUGUUGGAACUUUAAAUAGGUACAGAUUACAGUGUUUACCACAGUAAAUUAAUCUUCGGAUUUGGGGGGGCAAGCAAACACAUUUUGUUUUUCCGAAGGAGGGAAACAAAUUUUUACUUGCUCAAGUCAUUCAUGAAUUUUUGAUACUCUGUGCAAUAUGUGAUGCCCACUAAAAUGUGAUCACAUUAGUGAUGUUAUUUUUGCGAGUUUAUAAUUUUAUUUUCCAGGUAAAAUCUGUCUAUUUGUUUCACGAUAAUGAUUUUACCUAAAUUGCCUGUAAUAGGAAUUGCACGACACCAGAUGGCCCUGUGACAUGGUUGAGUCUCGGUAUUGGACUUGGCGAGGGCUCUCCAUAACUUUGAGAGACUUCGUGAAAACGGGUCACGUCUAACUGACUUCAUUUUUGUGACUGUUUUCCAGAUAUUUAAAAAUAUCACUGUCUAUGCGUACCACGCCCGGUACGUGUAACAAAUACAGAACAUUUGAGACACAGCAGAGUGACCAGUCCAACACUGACAGGAAUAUGUGUCGCUCACUGCUCAUCCUGCUGCUCAUCGCUGGAGUUCUGCUGAUCUCUACUGAGGGUCAGCAGGAUUAUCACACACUCACUGGUAUAUACAAGGAUGCUGUUGACAAGGCAAUUCAACACUGCAAUGAAAAAUCCUCAAAGCAUGUUAAUUUCCUUGGCUUCCUUCCUGAUUCAGAGGUAUGGAUUUCUGGUCUUAAUCUCUCUGUUAAAGUCAGCUUUGUGGUGCUGAUCUCUGUUAAAGUAAGUGCCUUGUUAAUCUGAAGGCGAUUAAGAUUUUAUAUUGAGUGUUUAGAGUGUAAAUAUUUUGUGUUUCCCUUUUAAAGUCCUGGUGUUUAUCAUACUUUAUUGACAGUAUAUGUCAAGGGCAAUCUGAUCCUGACUGGUAAUAAACAGAUCAAAUCAA